GGGUCAGUAGGUUGGUCGUGCCACCGGUACGUACUGGUCUCACUGAUUCCUCCUUCCUGAAGAACCGUAAUGCCAUUAAUUUGGUGUUGCGGGGAAGCAGGACUGUUACUUUGAAAAAAUUAGAGUGUUUAAAGCAAGCUAACGCUUGAAUACAUUAGCAUGGAAUAAUGAAACAGGACGAUCGAUCCUAUUUUGUUGGUUUCUAGGAUUGACGUA
rnacentral:rRNA from 1 species